rnacentral:rRNA from 2 species
GACCCCAGGUCAGACGGGAUUACCCGCU